UCCACCCACCCGAGCUACCAUCGCGCGGCCAGGGGCCCGUUCUGCAAGGUGCGCUCACCGGGUAUCCUCGGAGACACCGCGCGGCCCUAAAACGGCUCCUCCGGCAUCGCCCUCGCCGGGUCGUCGCGUACCUGCGAAAAGUCACCGAGAAAAUUUCUUGGACGGAGAGGGAAGGAGGUGCUUUCGCCCGGUAGCUGCAGCACAGGCCAGAAGUUAAAAUAUACGAAAAGAGCUGCUCCCAGCUUGCGCCGGCCCACGGGCUACGGCCUUUCUUCCGUCAACCCGGCAGCUACAAGCAGGAUCGAGAGUUGCAGCGGGCUGUAGCGUAGCUCGCUGGGCUAAAAUCACCAGACCCUCUUGCCGCUCUAGGACUGCAACACUCUAAAAAGCCCCAUGGCUUUUACUCGCCUUCUGGUCUCGGUGAAUUGUAAUACGCUACAUGGCGAUCGUACCUUUCCAGCGUUUUUUAAAACAAGCUGCCGGGGGGAAGGAGGCCUGGGCAAGAAAGGGUUUUGAGAGCCCCAAAUCUUGUAACCGUUAAAAACUGCAGUAGUAUCCGUAAGCGAAUGGCAGAAGACCCGCAAAGGAAGGUUUGUGUUGGGAUGAACACGCAGCAGCUCCGCAGGCUUUCUUUGAACCCUCUCCCCCUGCAAGCCCUGCGCCGGUUUGCCUGCUCGUAGCUGCGCCCUUGAGGGAGGGAGCAACACGCUCGCAAGCAACCGCAGGGACCUUUUCUCCCCAUACUCUCUCCUUUAUUGUCAUCCGGUUCGCUUCCCUCUUCUCUUUCGAUGGCAGUUCCCCCUUGGUGGGCGCUGCCGAGCGUUCUUCUUGCCCGCUCGCUGCCAGCUCGUCACUUGACUUGUAAUCAUGACUAAGGAGGACGGAGAGAAGCAACUUGUGCCAGCUUCCCACCUCUCUCGCCCAGCUGCCCGGCUUGGCGCAAGGCCAGCGUCGCAGGAAACAGCAUUUGAACAGCAGCUGCCAUUGCUCCCAGGGCUGCCAGCCGACAAGGCUGACCUGCGAAGCACCAGGCAGACAGCAUCUAAUGGCAACGGCCAAAAAGAAACAGGAACGUUUCUUCUUCCCAGCUCUGAUGAUUUGAAUUGAUAUGGAAGAAAAAGACACACUUUAAAAACGCUUGCUUGUGCGUGGAGUUUAAGAGCAGGUAUGCGCAUCUGAAGAUAGCGAAGGCAGUUAUGAAGGAGAGCUGACUUGAUUCAGGAACAUAAAACGGUGGGCCUGAAAGAAAAUGGGUGAAGCUAAUCAGAGAGAAGACACGGGAAGGAGACAAACAUUUACACUGCAGCAGGAGAGCCAGCCCCAUCACUCUCAGCACCAGGCCCGCAAUCGGGCUCCAGUGUGUAGCACCAUCUGCAGGAACCAGAAAACACCACGUCCAAGAACUGGUGGCACCUUGGUGGGCCACCAGACAGCUUCAGGUGUUGCUGCCGCAUCAUCUCCAGGCUGCAGCCAGGGUAGCCACGUUGUCAGAAGUCACAAACAUGCUGUGGAUGCAACCGCUCUCAGUGCGCUGUGUGAAUCUGGCCUACAAUCUCUUCAUACUACAAUGGCAGAGUUAAAGCUAAAAGCCGAAUAAUGUGAGAGGGAGAACAAAGAAUUAAACUAUUGUUGCUUAGUGUAACAAGACCUAUUUUUUUCAAGGAUAAUUAUGCUGAAGAGCCCAAAAGCAGCAAGAAAUCUCCUUCUUUGGAGAGUUAAUGAUUAACAACAACAAAAAAAAUCUUGUAAAAUACCUCAGACUUUGGUAUGUAACAAAAGUCAUAGAAGUAAAAAACACUUUAUGAUUUUACAGAAUUUCACCUCUUCCAAGCAUAGUCAGACCAUGGUAGUGGCUGGGAGAGAGGCACAAGAUGGGCAACACGUUGGGUUGCAAGUACUGGGUAAACGAAGUGAAGCCAAUGUUUUUGGGAGUGCUUCAAGCUCCCUAGGCCAGACAGGAUGUUACUCUAAGCAUUCGCUCUUCCAGCUUCAUUGUCACAGCCACACUUCCAGUUUCAUUUCAUUGUUAAUAUACCAUGUCUGUCCUCCACUUACCCUUAGCAUGUCUGAAUGCUAGAGAGAAAGCAAAUUUAGCCUCAACCUUGGUCAACAUCUAAAAUUUUUAACGCACAGUUGUAUUGGUGUGACCAGCUGACAAAGCUAUGCUGAUAAAAAACCUGGGGAAGAUACUAAUGUAUCUACCACAUCUGUAUACGAUUUGUAUUAAAGCACACAAAAUCAAAA